rnacentral:rRNA from 1 species
AGUGAACGCUGGCGGUAGGCCUAACACAUGCAAGUCGAACGGCAGCACAGGAGAGCUUGCUCUCUGGGUGGCGAGUGGCGGACGGGUGAGGAAUACAUCGGAAUCUACUUUUUCGUGGGGGAUAACGUAGGGAAACUUACGCUAAUACCGCAUACGACCUACGGGUGAAAGCAGGGGACCUUCGGGCCUGGCGCGAUUGAAUGAGCCGAUGUCGGAUUAGCUAGUUGGCGGGGUAAAGGCCCACCAAGGCGACGAUCCGUAGCUGGUCUGAGGGGAUGAUCAGCCACACUGGAGCAGAGACACGGUCCAGACUCGUACGGGAGGCAGCAGUGGGUAAUAUUGGACAAUGGGCGCCAGCCUGAUCCAGCCAUACCGAGUGGGUGAAGAAGGCCUUCGGGUUGUAAAGCCCUUUUGUUGGGAAAGAAAUCCAGCUGGCUAAUACCCGGUUGGGAUGACGGUACCCAAAGAAUAAGCACCGGCUAACUUCGUGCCAGCCGCCGCCGUAA